GCUGUGGUGUGCAGCAGCAGGAUGAGAACCUCAAGGUUCGACUCGAGCGCGACAGCGCGAGAGAACGGCGCAAGCGCAGCGGCGCCGGCCCCGCAGGGGCGAGGGCUGCAGGCCCGAGUAAUCCUGCCGCCCCAGCCA
rnacentral:sRNA from 1 species